CUUUUGAUCAUAUGUCCUUUAACGAACACCGUGCACGUCUUCGACUCAUUACAAAAACCUAACAACCUACCUCGCAACACAAGAUUCAAAGCAUUGUUGAAUGCCGCAAUGAAAAGAGUGCGUGGACAAAUGGGAUCUACAUCCAGAGCCACAUUUCCAAAAUGGAUAGCAAGAAAGUGCUUUCAACAACCUCCUUCUUCCGUUGACUGCGGCUACUACGCGCUGAAGUUUAUG